ensembl:lncRNA novel transcript
AGACAGGAAAAACACCCAAAAGGUAAAGGCCAGGCUGGUUCAUGCCGGACACCUAACCCCCUGCUACCACAUGCUGUUUUCCACACUGGGUGCUGGCCUGUGGGAACCUGCACAAGUCGGGGGCAACAUGGUCCCAGGAAGUCUUUGACAGGCUGCCCCCUGCUGGCUGCUGCGGGAACCACAUGGCAGAUGGCUCCUGGUGUCCCCUGGAAGGCUCAGAUGAUCCUCCCACCUCAGCCUCCUGAGUAGCCGCGACUACAGGCGCAUGCCACCACACCCAGGGUCCCAUCCAGAUACCACAUGACACCCGGUUGUCCUGUCUUCGGAGGCUCCUCCUGGCUGGGACAGCUUCUCAGACUUUCCUUGCUGCGAUGGCUGCUCAAGCUUUGAGGAGUACAGUCAGUGUUCUAUAGAACGUCUCUCUCGCUACUGAAAUUCGUCUAAUGUUUUUCUCAUGAUUAGACUGGGGUUGGGCAUGUUUAGAAAGAAGACCACAGAAGUAAAGUGCCUCCCUCAUCACACCGUGUCAAGGGUACACACCACCACGUGACUUCUCCCUGUCGCUGCUGACCUGGCCACCUGGCUGAGGCAGGAUUGCUCAGCUUCCUCCAUUCUCAGCUUUACACUUGUGAUCUCCUUUCCACGCUGCACUCGCUGGAAGGGAGUCACUGUAUGCAGCCAACACUGAAGGAAUGAAGUUAUUCCACACAGGAUUUAGAAUGCUCCACAGACGAUUUUUCUGCUCUUCCUAUUUAUUUUAC